UACGUAGGUGGCGAGCGUUGUCCGUAUUUACUGGGCGUAAAGGGAGCGUAGGCGGACUUUUAAGUGAGAUGUGAAAUACUCGGGCUCAACUUGAGUGCUGCAUUUCAAACUGGAAGUCUAGAGUGCAGGAGAGGAGAAUGGAAUUCCUAGUGUAGCGGUGAAAUGCGUAGAGAUUAGGAAGAACACCAGUGGCGAAGGCGAUUCUCUGGACUGUAACUGACGCUGAGGCUCGAAAGCGUGGGGAGCAAACAGG
rnacentral:rRNA from 1 species